UUAAAAGCUGCGCAGCAUGAACUUCCGG
rnacentral:piRNA from 1 species